rnacentral:rRNA from 1 species
UGGGGGAUAUUGCACAAUGGGCGAAAGCCUGAUGCAGCGACGCCGCGUGGGGGAUGAAGGCCUUCGGGUUGUAAACUUCUUUUGCUCUGAACAAGGCAUGCUAAUGGGUGUGUUGAGUGUAGGGGUUGAUUAGCGCCGACUAACUACGUGCCAGCAGCCGCGGUAAUACGUAGGGCGCGAGCGUUGUCCGGAAUUAUUGGGCGUAAAGGGCUUGUAGGUGGCUGGUUGCGUCUGUCGUGAAAGCUAAUGGCUUAACUGUGGGUUUGCGGUGGGUACGGGCUGGCUUGAGUGCAGUAGGGGAGGCUGGAAUUCCUGGUGUAGCGGUGGAAUGCGCAGAUAUCAGGAGGAAUACCGGUGGCGAAGGCGGGUCUCUGGGCUGUUACUGACACUGAGGAGCGAAAGCAUGGGGAGCGAACAGG